GUCAGCACAGAGCUGGUCGAGGAGCUCAAACUCAUGAACCGUGAGAUCAUGACUCCAGCCAAAGUCCCAUGCUCAAGUCUUACACCCACCCAAUUCUGCAAUUCCUAGGAAAUUUGGAACUUCUCCUACCCCACCGUCUCCAGGAGAAUGGCUUCCUACUGAUCUGAGAAGAAAUGGAAUCUGCUCUCUAGAGUAGAAGCGGCUACCAGUGAGCCAGUUUGCUGAAGCCAGUCAUGGCUGCAACAAUGAGUCCCCAGGCAUACCCAUCCCCAAGUGAGGACUCCACAGAGGGACAGAAGUCAGCCCUUCCCAGCAAUGGCUCUGACUCUGAAACUUCCCGCCAACGCUUCAGGCACUAAUGCUCCCAGGAGGUAGCUGGCCCCCAUGAAGGAUUUAGCAAGCUCGGGGAACUCUGCUGUCAGUGGCUAAGGCCUAAGACACACUCAAAAGAGCAAAUACUGGAGGUGCUGGUUUUGGAGCAGUUUCUCACCAUCUUGCCACAGGAGAUCCAGACCUGGGUGAGGGAGCAACAUCCAGAAAAUGGUGAGGAAGCUGUGGCUGUAGUUGAGGAUGUACAGAGUGCGUCUGGGCAACAGGUGAGAACAGGCAACUCAGAACCUGGUGAGUUUAAUUAUGAAGUAGGGUGAGGAGCACAGCAAUCCCAUUGCUGGAGACGUGUUGAGAAAUGCACAGUAGCCCCCCGCCACUCACCGCAAACUCUUAGCUAUCUUGGGUUGGUCCCAUGCCCUUCGUCUAUGGGGAGGAUUUCUCAUUUGCUGAAAUAAUGUACACACUGAUACAGUCAGUGGAUGUUUAGGGUCCCCAAUACAAAAGUUAAAGCUCAGAACAGUUCUCCAAAAGGCCAGGGAAAGGACACCGUCCCUCACUCAGGGGAUCAGGAAAAUUAGAGUUGGUGAAUUAACAUCCAGUCUCUCUUGCCGAAAGGUUCCUUGAGUGCAGAUGCUAUGGUUAUGCAGUAAACAAAGUUGUAUCAGAGCUGCUGCCACCAAGAUUAAGGCAUCAGUGCGGGAUAGCGAUGAGUUUCACACAGUGUGCGCUUGUCCAGGUAGGACUAGGUGUGAGAUCCGGUCAGUGUCACGAUCUUGUACAUUUCGGGAGAAGGAGCCGUGAAAGGCACAGCACAACAGGAACGUGGCUUUGGUUGUGGGAGACUUGUGGGAAUAAGGCAGCUGAGAUCACAACCAGAGGUCCAGGAGAGGCACAGACUGAAGGAGGCGUGUGGGUCAGAGGAACGCCGUAGCCUGAGCACCUCUGGGCUCAACAGGAAGCAGCUGGCUGGGUGCGGAGACGGCAUGCCUGGAACUGGAGGUACCGGUGUCCCCGGUGAGGAGGCAGACGUGUCCUUGGGCUGUGGGAGGGGGACCGGCGAGGGGCGUAGCAUUUCACAGGACUGAGGAUUGAGUGGUGUUGACAUAACGUGCAGAGGGCAGAGAGCUUGGUGGGGACGCAUCAGGGACAAAGCUGAGGAAGUUCAUGAAGGAUCCAUGGCGUCGGGACAGUAACACCUGGGACGGCACGGAGAAGGGCCAGCAGUAGCACGUGUGUGGAGUCAGAGCUGGGACAGGUGAAUGGCAGGAACCCCUACAGGUGAGAAGUCAUCCUGCUCCAGUUCCCCUUGCCCUCUCCCUGUGGGGACAGUCUCUGUCUCUUGCGGCCCCUGGUGUUUCAGAGCCAAGCUCUUCACAGGAAUGCGGACAGGACAGGAACGUGAGGGAUAACACAGCCAUGUGAAGCCUGUCUGGGGCGCGAAGGGCACCGUGAGCGGAGGGGAGGGAGAGCGGAAGCUGACGGCACUUGCCAGGACGCAGAGGCCUCUCCGCGCCACACUCCUCACUCACUCGACGGACAGGACACGUCAUACACGGAGGACUUAAUGAAUGAAGGUGGCUCUGAAAGACACAAGUGGCUUUGAGGUGCCUGCCAGAUGGCAGACACUGGGGAUUGUGCAGUGAACGGGACAGGCGUGGUCCGUGGCCUGCUGCAGGCUACACUCCAGGAGGGACACAGACCACAAGCAAAGGAAGGAAGAGCCAGGAACGAGCCGGCUGAUGUGAUGGAGAAUGACUGUGGGGCAGACGGAGAGUGGGCACCGCCUCUCCGGGCCGUGACAGAGGAGUGGCUGUCAGGAGCCUCAGGUCCCAGAUUCAGGGAAGGACUGGAAAGUGCUCAAUGAGGAGACAGACCCUUGGGGACCAGCCAGAGAGUCACAGAGGUCCCACCUGAAACGGCGGGUUCAUUCAGAGGGAAGCACUUUGACGGGGUCACGGAGCUCACAACAAAGAUCAGGGAAACAGCCAGAAGCCUGGCUGACGGCACAGCCUCCCGGGAACCUUCCCUAGGAAAGGGGUCUUGGAGACCAGGAGACAGGCACUGCGCAUGGGACAGCUGGGGCCCAGGGAGCAGCCACGUGUGAAGACAGAGCUGCACUCCUCGGUCAGGAAAGGCGGAUACACCUCGGCCCGGCACAGAGGGCCCUCCGCAGGGACAUUUCACAGAGGAAUGACAAAAACGACUCUCUGGGUAAGGAUGCCUGUUCCCUCAGGCCCAGAGUGGAGGUGUUCAUUUGUUCAGAGAGAGAGAGACUGGGAGACCGGAGAAACGAGACAGACAGAGGCAGACCACUGGGUCGAGGCAAGAAGGAAAUAAACAGGAAGAGCCUGAGAGCAGGUAUGAGACACAGAGACCGGAAGAAAGGGAAGGACAGGCCAGAGGGCUAACGACAGGGUGGACAGCAUGCGAGUGGGAACGAGGGAGGGCGGGACACGAGAGCAGUGGGGGUGGAAGUGGGAGGUAGAGCAAGGGGCUGGGGGAGUGAGAGACACCAGGGGACAGCCAGCAGCAAGGAGGCACCGCCUGUGGGAGCAGCAGGCCGACCUGAGUGCACAUGUGCUCACACACACACCUGAGGGCUGUCCUGAGGGGCUGAAGGGAAACUCAAGAGCACCCAUGUCUGACCGCAUGGGAAACUCAAGAGCACCCACGUCUGACCGCAUGCUUCUGCGCCCAGGCCUUCAGGAGGCAGCCGGGCCCUUCGGACAGUCUCAGGACCAUCGGCUCAAAUCGUCUCUGCCCGCGCCCCCCACGCCGGGCUCUGUGCCGACAGCUCAGGGCCUGGGGCCUGCUGUGGGUUCUGUGUCUCCCUCUCUCUGCCCCCCCCCCCCCCCCCCCCCCCCGCUCACACUCAGUCCCUCUGUCUCUCAAAAAUAAAUACAACAUUAAAAACAGUAAAUCAGCUCUGCCCCUUCCGGGCUGCUCCUCAGAGCAUCGGAUUCAGGGAAGGGACAGAUGCUCUGCAGCUGGCUCGGCCAUGAUGUCUCCUCCCUGCAUGCUCCGGAUCACGGAGAACACGCAGGGACCCUAGAUACUCACCGCUGAGCAAGGAACGAUUCUAAGAGUUCCACAAGUGACGAUGGCUUGGAGGCCCAUGAGACACCACUGAAAGGGGAAGGAUAAGGGCGGGGUGACGCCCAGCAGCCAGAGGAAAGACAGGCACGGCCAGGGCUGCUGAGGAAACCAGGACGUUCCUGUCCGUUCUCAAUGAACCUGAAUGUUAUUGGAAACUCCACGCGCACCAGCCAAGUAGCCGGCUGUGUGGGGAAGUUGCCCAGCUGUUGUGUGAACGUGGUCCCCGCAGCCUCUGGAUCAACAUGGAAGGAAGUUCCAAAGCCUCGGGGCUGUGCAAGGCCACAGCCCAGAACCUGUGCUUUUCAGGAGAUGAAAGCUUUGCUGGCCUCACAUGGCUCCUGUGGUUCUCCCAGGAGUAGGGCACAUAGGGUGGGUGAGGCUCAGGGACCAAGACAAGACUCGUGAAGUGCAAAGACAGUGGAGAAUGCAGGCAGCUACACAUCUGACUGCAAGCAGCCAGCCCAGGACACCCACAGCCUCUUCCAGAGCCCUUUGCUGAGGACCUGUCUGCACUACUCCCAGUACUGAUCACCUGUAGGAGAGAAGUCCCCCACUCUGGGUCUUGUCUUCUGGCUAUAAACUGAAGAUGGUUCCUGUUCCCUCCCAGGUGGGUGGACUUCGUCUAUACAAUGCUAAGAUAGUAGGAGCCUGGGAAUGAGUGCUGUAUUGUCUAUGAAAGGGGGUGAUGUCCUAGCAGGUGUGGCUGGUGGAGGAGUCCAGAAGUUGGUCAUAGUGGCUGGGAAUGAGGUUCCACUGCAGCUGCAGGACAGUGGAGAAGAAGGGUGAUCAAAGGUGUGGGGACGCAGUGGGUUAGACAGUGGCUUUGGGUUUCACUGAGAAGAUGACAUUUGAACAAAGAUGUGAGGAGAAGCCAGGAGCCAUAUGGCUGUUCUGGGGGAAGAAUGUAACCGAGGGAACAGGCCAGCACACAGGCCGAGGCUGCAGUGAGUCUGGGGAGGCGGCCAUUGUGACCAGCACAGACCAAGAGAGGGUGAGCCUAAUAAAUGGUAUCCGUCGCCAGAUCACGUGGGGCAGUGCUACUGAAAAUGACCUGAACUGAGACAGAGCAUUUAUGCCAAGCUCACAUCGCUGCUGUGUCCAAGUGCACUUCUGUAUCAUUAACAACAAACCACCUGGCUUUUCACAGAUAAUUGACAAGCUCUAAUGUAGGAGCUGGGACCCUACGUAAAGGACUUCGUAAGCACCUGAUGUUUUCUCAGUGAAACGGGGUGGCCUUGCAGGGCUCUAAGCACACAGGGAGUCAUUUUUAAAUGGAUCAUGUUGACUCUUUCCAUUUUUUUGGCUCAAGGCGGAGUAGUAAGGGUGAAGAGAAGGGCGUGCCCCUCAGAGCACCAGACCAGAGGUUAGAGCGCACUUGCUGAGGCAGCUUGAGACACACACAGGAGCCCUCACCGAACCAGCCCGUGGGCACUACAGUGAACAUUAUGUGCUGGGAGCUCCCGAGGAGCCAGCCGGCCUCACGCCCUUCUCAGCGGAGCACUGCUUCUUCCCAUCUUGGGAUGGGAGGUGCUGUGGUUUAGUUUCUCGCACCUACAGGGAUGACAGGAGAUCCUCGAGACAGGGAUGGGCCAGUCAGGGCUACUCAACAUCAGAGGCAGAAGUCGACAGAAGUGGUCUACAAGCGGCCACGUCCUCUCGCGAGCCACAAGCCCUCACAGAUUCUCCCAACCAUGGAGACAAGCAUUACACUUACAGUGACAUCACUCAAGAGAAAUGAGUGGCAUUCAGGAUAAAGAACAAGAGUGCAGCUUUGGGUCCAGCAUGUUUCUGUUCUCUCAGGUCUUGAGAUCACAAAUGGAAUUAAAAACGAGAAUCAAAAAUGGGAAGAUCCAGAGGAGGCAGAAGUGAAGAAGGCCCUUUGGAGAAAGUCUAGUGGCCUUUUUUGCCACCCUGAGACCAAGAGAGACAGGAAGGGUGAGCCUAUGCCGAGAGAGCCACAUAGACGUUCUCCAGAUGAGCGUGAGGGGACGGCCCCAUCCCAGGACAGGGGGGUCAGCAGACACUCUGUGCUGGAGAGAAGGCCCGAGCAAAUCUGAGCAGAGAAACCUGCUCUCAGGGAUCUCUCUGUGGCCACCAGCCAGGCUCCGAACUGGAAAAAGCUUCUAAGUGUCAGGAAUGUGGGAAAAGCUGUAGCCGAGGUCAUUACCUUGUUCAGCAUCGGAGAAUCCACACGGGACAAAAGCCUCACAAGUGCGGCGAAUGAGGGAAAGGCUUCAGCGAGUGCUUCGACCUCACUGCCCAUGCAAGGACGCACACGGGGGAGAGACCCUACCGCUGUGGGCAGUGUGGGAAAAGCUUCAACCAGAGGUCUGGCCUCAGUGUCCACCGGAUGACCCACAAGGGGAAGAGACUUACCAGUGCACCGUCUAUGCGAAGAGCUUCAACAACAGCUCCCAGCUCAGCGCUCACCGGCGAGCCCACGCCCGGCGGAGCCCCCACUCCACUGGCCCUUCACUCCAGUGAAGAAGCUUCGGCAGCAGCUCCCACUCCAGUGGCCACCAGAAAACGUACACCGGGGAGAAGCCUCACAACUGCUUUGUGUGAGAGAAGCUUCGCUAAGCUCCGUGCCCGCAUCUGCCAUCAGGGGGCACACGAGGACGACACCUCACAUCGCCAGGAAGGGAAACACGGUACGGGGCUGAAGAGCCAACAGGCCAAUUCCGUAUGUUGACAGGUCUCCUGGAGGUUCUGUCUGCUCACGGAGGCUUCUGCUAGCCAGUCCCAGGCUCCCAGGCGCAGCAGGAGACUCACAAGUGGACCUCGAGAACCUCGGGCAGGAGUAGCAAUCGGCGUGAGAACGCCGAGCUUGCUUUCCCGGUCUGCCUGUGACCCGCAGUCCCGUGUCACCGUGGACUUCAUCUGCUCUCAAGAAAGGGGGCUGCGGGAUCCAAAGUCCUGCCAGAAAUCGAGGGUAACCGUGUUCCGAACAGAGGAUAGGUGGCUAGGGGCCUGGGAAGUGUUCCUGGGGCAGGUCAGGGGAGAAAUUUUCCCUCAUGGGAAGCACAUCUCGAAGUUAACCGCCUAGAUGUUUCCUAACCCAAUAAUGACCUGUAGGCAUCUGCUUGCAGGAACGUCUACCUCCGAGUCGAUCACUGCUGUGUAUCCCAGUCACCCAGAGAAGACGGCAGAGCUGGAAGGAUGGCUCAGGCCACCAGGUACUACUACUCUAAGUGACUUAAUCUCAGAGCAAGUGUGACACCUGGGUUCCUCUAAGAUUUCUCCCAUGUAUGGCCCCGACCCAGGUUCCUGCUUUCUGGUCUGGUACAGUUAACGGUUGCCACAGGUUCAUACGCGUCACUGUUUCUGAAGAACAUAAAGGUGUUUCUCUCUCCGC